UACGUAGGGUGCGAGCGUUAAUCGGAAUUACUGGGCGUAAAGCGUGCGCAGGCGGUUUGUUAAGACAGGCGUGAAAUCCCCGGGCUCAACCUGGGAACUGCGCUUGUGACUGGCAGGCUAGAGUACGGCAGAGGGGGGUGGAAUUCCACGUGUAGCAGUGAAAUGCGUAGAGAUGUGGAGGAGCACCAAUGGCGAAGGCAGCCCCCUGGGUCGAUACUGACGCUCAUGCACGAAAGCGUGGGUAGCAAACAGG
rnacentral:rRNA from 1 species